CUCUAGGGUCCAGUGGAGGUGAUCCUCUAGGGUCCAGUGGAGGUGAUCCUCUAGGGUCCAGUGGAGGUGAUCCUCUAGGGUCCAGUGGAGGUGAUCCUCUAGGGUCCAGUGGAGGUGAUCCUCUAGGGUCCAGUGGAGGUGAUCCUCUAGGGUCCAGUGGAGGUGAUCCUCUAGGGUCCAGUGGAGGUGAUCCUCUAGGGUCCAGUGGAGGUGAUCCUCUAGGGUCCAGUGGAGGUGAUCCUCUAGGGUCCAGUGGAGGUGAUCCUCUAGGAUCCAGUGGAGGUGAUCCUCUAGGGUCCAGUGGAGGUGAUCCUCUAGGGUCCAGUGGAGGUGAUCCUCUAGGGUCCAGUGGAGGUGAUCCUCUAGGGUCCAGUGGAGGUGAUCCUCUAGGGUCCAGUGGAGGUGAUCCUCUAGGGUCCAGUGGAGGUGAUCCUCUA